AUUGAACGCUGGCGGCAUGCCUUACACAUGCAAGUCGAACGGCAGCGGGCCUUCGGGUGCCGGCGAGUGGCGAACGGGUGAGUAAUGCAUCGGAACGUGCCAUUGAGUGGGGGAUAACGUAGCGAAAGUUACGCUAAUACCGCAUAUUCUGUGAGCAGGAAAGCAGGGGACCGCAAGGCCUUGCGCUCUUUGAGCGGCCGAUGUCAGAUUAGCUAGUUGGUGAGGUAAAGGCUUACCAAGGCGACGAUCUGUAGCGGGUCUGAGAGGAUGAUCCGCCACACUGGAACUGAGACACGGUCCAGACUCCUACGGGAGGCAGCAGUGGGAAUUUUGGACAAUGGGCGCAAGCCUGAUCCAGCCAUGCCGCGUGAGUGAAGAAGG
rnacentral:rRNA from 1 species